GAUGAACGCUGGCGGCGUGCCUAAUACAUGCCAGUCGAGCGAACAGACGAGGAGCUUGCUCCUCUGACGUUAGCGGCGGACGGGUGAGUAACACGUGGAUAACCUACCUAUAAGACUGGGAUAACUUCGGGAAACCAGAGCUAAUACCGGAUAAUAUAUUGAACCGCAUGGUUCAAUAGUGAAAGACGGUUUUGCUGUCACUUAUAGAUGGAUCCGCGCCGCAUUAGCUAGUUGGUAAGGUAACGGCUUACCAAGGCAACGAUGCGUAGCCGACCUGAGAGGGUGAUCGGCCACACUGGAACUGAGACACGGUCCAGACUCCUACGGGAGGCAGCAGUAGGGAAUCUGCCGCAAUGGGCGAAAGCCUGACGGAGCAACGCCGCGUGAGUGAUGAAGGUCUUCGGAUCGUAAAACUCUGUUAUUAGGGAAGAACAAAUGUGUAAGUAACUAUGCACGUCUUGACGGUACCUAAUCAGAAAGCCACGGCUAACUACGUG
rnacentral:rRNA from 1 species